AUUUCAGAUGAUGGGAACUUUGAGGAGAAAGAGAGCGAGCCUGAUAUGAUGUCAAUAUUAAAAAACAUCAGCAGCCAGCUGGACACAGGAGAACACCCACAGUCCAACAAUGUAAAUGUUACGCGGGACUCUGUACUGGAGAGUGCCUUCAGAACCUUCAGGAGGCAGAGGUUUUCUCCAACUCAUCGCCUCAAUGUUGUCUUUGUUGACAAUUAUGGCAUCACCGAGGGGGCUGUAGAUGACGGCGGGCCAACAAGGGAAUUCCUUCGCUUGCUGGUCGUGGCAAUUAAGGACAGCAUUUAUUUUUAUGGACAAGAAGACAAGAAAAACUUGUCUUUGGUGUCCCGUGCUUUGGAUGCUGGGGAAUACAGACUUGUUGGACAGAUGCUGUGUGUAGCCCUUGUACAUGGAGGCAUCAAGCCAUCCUUUUUUUCAGAGCGCCUGUAUUGCUGUGUCUCCCGUCUUCCAACUCCUCAAAUCAGUGU